UUUAACUCAGUGUUUCAACCUCUGCAUCCUGACUAGAUGACAUGUGAGUGGAGAUACUGACUGCCCCCUGUCCCGCCUCCAUCCCUAGGCUGGUCAUCUGGCUGUGAACCGCUGUCAUUUUUAAGUCUGCCAGUGACUUAGACAAUAACAAAAGGUUGCAUCCAGACUAACUUGGCCCACGUUAAGAACCCUGGGAGCUCAGCCCACAGAUCUCAAGAUGAGAGUGUAGUGCGCUAUCAAUUUCUACAACCUCAAAAACAGUGAAAAACAAAACCCCUGCUGCUCCUCGGCUACUUUAUUCUUAUCCACUGGGCGACAGCUGAUAGUAAGGUGUUGAGGGCACCCAGAAAAGAAGGAACAGCCCAGCUGACCAUGCUGGGAGGGGAACAAAGACAUCUGCUUUCUCACUAGGUAUUCAGUUUCAUCGCAACACUACUCAGUCUUUCAACUUUUAUUUUCUCUGGCUUCCCUGCCUGAUGAAGAAAGGAGACAGCCCCAGAGCUCUGCCUCCAGACCAGGUGCUUGAAAAACACAUCAUUCGUCUUGCAACACUGACUGUUUUCACAGCAAGAUGGGCCCUUUAGCUCUCCUCAUGAAAUGUGAGGCUGUGUGCCCUCUCUGCCUUCCUCUGACUGCAGGGGACCACUGGAUCCGCCAAGGAAAAACCACAAGUUUAAUAACAGCAGAACAAGACGUUACAGGAAGGACAGCACCUGUAUCCUCCACUUGCCCAGGAAGUGUCUGGAAUCCACCUGCUCUAGCCCAUCUGUACCCCAGAUCCCCACUUCUUCUUGCUAUGCAUCUGCAUGCCAUCAUCUAGUUCAGCAAAAGACCUUCUGAAGACUAUCUGCACAGAAGACACCUGAAGAUAGUAUUAAUAACUAAGAAAUAGUUUUUCAAUCUCAAAUAACUUUCUUCAUUUAUACAAAAAAAAGUUUAUUAAGAACAUUUUUACUCCA